GUUGAACGUAUAACGUUGCAUACAGACUUCUUUGCAGAUAAAAUUUUCAGUGAAUUUAGGAACAUUUGAUAAUAUGGUUCCAUGGACGGUACACACUAUUGCGAAGCGUGUGACGAGACGGAAAGGAGAUCAACCUUUAAAAGUUUUACAGUCAUUUUACAUUGGUCAAUCAGUGACGUUACAUAUGAUAAUCAUUUAUGUAAUACAGCAGACAAAAUAAUAAUCCAAUAGCGCGUCAAUUCGGGGCAGCGUUAAAGAAAUGCCAUAUUAAUUGGAAAUAAGGAGUAUAGAUAUCUCAAUUCAAGGGAGCGUUUAAGAAAAUGCUAUAUUAAUUAUAUCUGUGACUGAACACUUUAGGGAAUGUUUCGAUGCUACAGUCAUAGACAAGGAAUAGUCUAGAUCUAUCAAUCAAUGGGACUUCGUGCGAGACGAACAGAAAUACCAACUUUGUAAAAAAAACAGUGAUUUUAAAGCGACCUCUUCGUUUAAAAAACGAGUUGCCGCUACUAACGCGUGCAGGAUUGCCAUUUCUUACAAAUACCACUCAGUGAUGCCAGAUUGAGCACCGGGUGCACUACUCACUAUGCCAGAUCACGCGUACGUGAGCUCGUGGAGUUUCGGAGAGUCGACAAAGGCAAA